AGCCAUCAGUUCCCUCUCUCAAUUCCUUUCCCUCACUCACGGGUCAGCCGCUGCUCCUCACUUCCCUUCUCCUCUCCUCUUCCCUUCUCUCCUCUUCCCUUCUCUCCGCCCUCCCUCACUAUCGGCACACCACCACCACCAGGCCACGUUUUUUUUCUCCACCGUGAGCAGCCACCGCAGAAGACCAGGUCUCCCUUCCCCACGAGCAGUCACGACAGUAGGAACCACGUUUUUGCCCAGCCUGCCGCUAGCAAACAGGGGUUCAGACAGCCGGUUUUGGCCCUCGUGCAUCACCACCACGACCUUCAUCCACCUCUUCACCAUUCUUGCUAGUUUUAAACCUUGUUACCAGUUUAUAAGAGGAAAGUAGACCCUUAGUGGGGUGAUUUUUGUAACUUGUGGUCGUGCAGUGACGCUUGUAGCAGGAGGAUCAUAGCUUGACAUGACAGGUAUAGGAGCUUCUUUUGCUUUGAAUUGGGAAAAGAGCAGAGUACGAUCGUAACAAUUGUGUAUAAAUUGUCUUAAUGCUUGUAGCUUCUAUAAUACUUGUAAAGUUUUCUUUUGCGGUUGUAAAAUUUCUUUUAUAUGGA